rnacentral:rRNA from 1 species
UAUAUUUUUACUGAUUUUUAUAGAGUAAAGAUAGAAAUAAAACUUAGUAAAAUCAGUAAAAAUAUUCUUAGAUUAAAGUUAAGUAGUUUAAGUUGUGUGCAAGUGGUAGGAGAGCGUUCUAUUUGCGUCGAAGGUAUACCGGUAAGGAGUGCUGGAGCGAAUAGAAGUGAGCAUGCAGGCAUGAGUAGCGAUAAUUAAUGUGAGAAUCAUUAACGCCGUAAACCCAAGGUUUCCUACGCGAUGCUCGUCAUCGUAGGGUUAGUCGGGUCCUAAGUCGAGUCCGAAAGGGGUAGACGAUGGCAAAUUGGUUAAUAUUCCAAUACCAACAUUAGUGUGCGAUGGAAGGACGCUUAGGGCUAAGCAAGCUAGCGGAUGGAAGUGCUAGUCUAAGGAUGUAGGAGCUUAUACAGGCAAAUCCGUAUAAGAAUACUCCGAGAUCUUAAAGGCUCUUUGAAGUCUUCGGAUGGAUAGGAGAAUUGCUGAUGCCGUCGAGCCAAGAAAAGUUUCUAAGUUUAGCUAAUGUUGCCCGUACCGUAAACCGACACAGGUGGGUGGGAUGAGUAUUCUAAGGCGCGUGGAAGAACUCUCUUUAAGGAACUCUGCAAAAUAGCACCGUAUCUUCGGUAUAAGGUGUGGUUCGCUUCGUAUUAGGAUUUACUCCGAAAGCGAAGAAACUUACAACAAAGAGUCCCUCCCGACUGUUUACCAAAAACACAGCACUCUGCUAACUCGUAAGAGGAUGUAUAGGGUGUGACGCCUGCCCGGUGCUCGAAGGUUAAUUGAUGGGGUUAGCAUUAGCGAAGCUCUUGAUCGAAGCCCGAGUAAACGGCGGCCGUAACUAUAACGGUCCUAAGGUAGCGAAAUUCCUUGUCGGUUAAAUACCGACCUGCAUGAAUGGCGUAACGAGAUGGGAGCUGUCUCAAAGAGGGAUCCAGUGAAAUUGUAGUGGAGGUGAAAAUUCCUCCUACCCGCGGCAAGACGGAAAGACCCCGUGGACCUUUACUACAGCUUGACACUGCUAUUUGGAUAAGAAUGUGCAGGAUAGGUGGGAGGCUUUGAGUAUAUGACGCCAGUUGUAUAUGAGCCAUUGUUGAGAUACCACUCUUUCUUAUUUGGGUAGCUAACCAGCUUGAGUUAUCCUCAAGUGGGACAAUGUCUGGUGGGUAGUUUGACUGGGGCGGUCGCCUCCCAAAUAAUAACGGAGGCUUACAAAGGUUGGCUCAGAACGGUUGGAAAUCGUUCGUAGAGUAUAAAGGUAUAAGCCAGCUUAACUGCAAGACAUACAAGUCAAGCAGAGACGAAAGUCGGUCUUAGUGAUCCGGUGGUUCUGUGUGGAAGGGCCAUCGCUCAAAGGAUAAAAGGUACCCCGGGGAUAACAGGCUGAUCUCCCCCAAGAGCUCACAUCGACGGGGAGGUUUGGCACCUCGAUGUCGGCUCAUCGCAUCCUGGGGCUGGAGCAGGUCCCAAGGGUAUGGCUGUUCGCCAUUUAAAGCGGUACGCGAGCUGGGUUCAGAACGUCGUGAGACAGUUCGGUCCCUAUCUGCCGUGGGCGUAAGAAGAUUGAAGAGAUUUGACCCUAGUACGAGAGGACCGGGUUGAACAAACCACUGGUGUAGCUGUUGUUCUGCCAAGAGCAUCGCAGCGUAGCUAAGUUUGGAACGGAUAAACGCUGAAAGCAUCUAAGCGUGAAGCCAACUCUAAGAUGAAUCUUCUCUAAGCUCUCUAGAAGACUACUAGUUUGAUAGGCUGGGUGUGUAAUGGAUGAAAGUCCUUUAGCUGACCAGUACUAAUAGAGCGUUUGGCUUAUCUUU